UACGGAGGGUGCAAGCGUUGUCCGGAUUUAUUGGGUUUAAAGGGUGCGUAGGCGGUUAAUUAAGUCAGUGGUGAAAUCCUGGAGCUCAACUUCAGAACUGCCAUUGAUACUGGUUGACUUGAGUACAGACGAGGUUGGCGGAAUUGAUGGUGUAGCGGUGAAAAUGCAUAGAUACCAUCAAGAACACCGAUUGCGAAGGCAGCUAACUAGGCUGUAACUGACGCUGAGGCACGAAAGUGUGGGGAUCAAACAGG
rnacentral:rRNA from 1 species